UGUUCUUCAGCUCGUCUAAAUCAAUGUAUCCAUCUCCAUUCCUUACAAAGACAUCCAUGAACAUUUCUAUAUUAAUACACUUUUGACGAGCCUCUGAACAUUUCUUUGUAGUGGAAAAGGGUUCUUCAUAGUAUAAAAAGGAAGUAGCCUACCUUGGUCAAGGGCACAAUGGUGAAAUGACAUUUACCAAUUGGAUUUCCAACUUACCGCUGCUUUGUAUACAUCAUCCAUGGCUGUCCUGAAUCUGGGAUCUUCUUUUUCCAAAUGUCCUGUUGACUUCACGCAGGUAAUCCAGCACUAAAGCCCAGUCACCCCGCACACUUCUUAACACUGCAGACACAGGACGAAGAGUUCCAGGGCCACCUGUCUUGGACUUUAUGGCUCAGAAAAGACAAAGCCUUUUGUCACUCCCCUUUUCCACUUGAGAGAGAAGAGAGAGAGGGGUAGAAAAGGAAAGAGAGUGGGGCAAAAGGGGCUUUGGGAUGGUAUGGGCUAUAAAUAGGGGAGGAAUGUCAGAGACAACAGGCAGGAGGAUUCGAGUUAUGACAAUAAGUCCUUGGCACUGGUGGCGCUGGCAGCCUGAGUGACACCCCAUAUCAAGUGCUAAACUUAUCCACCGGUCACCUGCAUUUGCCAAUCACUUUUGAAUGGCAUCACGGCUCCACUCCUGUUGCAGGCAUUGUCUCUAUGUUUUUAUAUCAAUUUGGGAAAUGAACCUGUGACCAUGGCGGCGCUAGCAUUAUCAGUUUUACCCAUAAAUGGGUUUGAUUACCCCUAUAACUUUAUUUUCAGUGAUGCCAUAUAAUAACCAUUUUUGGUUCCUCCGAAACAGAAAGGUUCAUUAUGGAACCAUGCAGCUAAAAAUGGUUCUUGUGGCAUUGUGUAGCCCCCUACACUAAAAUAUUCUUCUUUUGUCUAUAUGUGAAUCUAUUUAUAAUGCCUGCAUCAGUCAGUAUCACUGUCAGUGUCACAUUAGGCCAGUAUGUGCAUCAAAGCGUUGACUAAUGCCUGUGAAGCUGACAUCACAAUGAUAUGCUAAGCUAUUCUAGAUCCCUCUGUCCUAAAGAGAAGAAACGCCUACUAGCCAUGAACCUUCCCUUAAAAGAGUAUCCGAGUUGUACCCACUCUUACACACGAAACGUACACAAUAAUUGUGUAACAACAUUAAGCAAGGUUGUACGCUCGUCUCACUUUCCAAACAUUUUCCAUCCGGCAGAACCUCCUGAUAAUAAAAUGUACGGUUUCUGUUUACAGAAGGCACAUGUCUCUGCUCGUGUUCGCACCCACCACAACCACCUCGUUUUGAGAACAUGUAACAGCUGAGACACCAAACAGCUUAAGAGGCCGUGUGGGACAUAAUAGUAAGAACGAAUGGGGAGUCAGUAGAGCAGACUGACACCAAUGACUCACUACAGACAGACAUUUGGAUGUGGGGCAUGAAUACGGUUUUGGCAUAUAGUGUAAAUUUACAGAUAUUGUCUCAUUCUUACCCACUGUUUGUUUGGAGAGUAAUAAAGGGUCAUUUGUUUAAAGAGGUACUUGAGGAAGCAGAAAUUUGGAGAAUAAUUUUACAGUGUAUAUGCCAAACCUGUUUAAAAUUUGACACCAUCAUUGGACUUCGUAUGUUUUACUAUAUAUAUAUAACAGUUUGCGAAUCUUUAAUGAGGUUGGAAAACUAGGUAUAAAUAAGAUAUAAAGUUGUCUCAAGGUGUGCACAUCGGAAAUAUGCUUCAUGUGUCAACAUAUACACAGUUUUUGCACAUUUUGUAGCUCAUGUUGUCUGAGCAAAUUUAAACAGGCAAAUCACUCUGCAGUGAUACUUCAUGGUGUAAAUGUAAAUGCAAACAACCUCUUCCUAUACAACGUGACCCAGAGAGCUCUUCUAUUUGUAUACAGUAUGUGUGUGCAAGACCCUGGCCCAACCUUAAACCUCAAGCUUUUUUUAACACGCUGCCUUUCUUCACCGGAGGCUGUUAGAUUUUACAACAUCAGAUUUUUACUAUUAAAUAAACUGAGAUCAUAUGUACUGAAAA